AAGUCGGCGGCCUGCUCGGGCUGGCGCUGCCCUGGGGACGCUGGGACUGGGAGGCCGGGUGGCCCGGGCCCUGCGGCGGCGGCGGCGGCGGCGGCGGCGGCGGCGGCGGCGGCGGCGGCGGGAGCCCGGGUCCGGAGCGCCAUAUGAGACGGUUUAAACGGAAGCAUCUUACAGCCAUCGACUGCCAACAUUUGGCUCGGAGUCACUUGGCUGUGACCCAGCCCUUCGGUCAAAGAUGGACCAACAGAGACCCGAACCACGGUCUCUAUCCUAGACCCAGAACAAAAAGAGGGACUAGGGGUCAAGGAUGUCAAAGGUACGGCACUGAAUUCCUCCUAGCUGGCCAGCAGCGGCGCACCAAUGACAUGGCCAAAAGCAAUUCUGUGGGCCAGGACACCUCUAAGGACUCGGAGGGGGAAAUGAUCUUUGCCGCGGAGAGCAACUGUGCCCUGCCUCGAGAAGGUGAUGGAGAAGCCAGACUGGGCUCGUCAGGGUCCGCGCCGCCUGCAAGGAAGCGGUCCCGGUCUUUUGAGGACGAGAGGAAUCCAGCAACAGGGACCAGUCAGUGGGACGGGGCUUCUAAGAAAACGCCACGGCAUCGUUCGCUCCUGUCAUGCCCAAGACCCCGGGAAGCCAGGCAGGAAGCAGAGGACUUUGUGUCCCGGCCCUCUGCGGAAUCCGGAGAACCCAGCCAGGAAGUGGAAGACGUCGGUCCUGACCCCAUUCCUGACUCUUACUAUGGGCUCCUGGGGACCUUGCCUUGCCAGGAACCCCAGAGCCACAUGGGCAGCCUGCCCAGUGAGGUCCUGAGGCACAUCUUUGCUUUCCUCCCUGUGGAAGAUCUCUACUGGAACGUGAGCUUAGUGUGCCACUUCUGGAGGGAGAUCAUCAGCGAUCCGCUGUUCAUUCCUUGGAAGAAGCUGUAUUACCGAUACCUGAUGAAUGAAGAACAAGCCGUGAGCAAAGUGGAUGGCAUCCUGUUGAACUCCGGUAUAGAGAAGGAGUCGGACUUGUGUGUGCUCAACCUCAUCCGCUAUACAGCCACCACUAAGUGCUCCCCAAGCGUGGAUCCUGGACGGGCGUUGUGGAGUCUGAGGGAUCACCUCCUCCUCCCUGAGGCAGAGGCCUGCGUGCGUCAGCACCUCCCCGAUCUCUACGCGGCUGCUGCGGGUGUCAACGUGUGGGCUCUGGUGGCAGCCAUCGUGCUCCUCUCUAGCAGUGUGAAUGACAUCCAGCAGCUGCUCUUCUGCCUCAGGCGGCCCGGCUCCACCGUGACCAUGCCAGACAUCAUGGAGACCCUGUACUGUAUUGCCGUGCUUCUCUAUGCCAUGAGGGAGAAGGGGAUCAACAUCAGCAACCGGAUUCACUACAACAUUUUCUAUUGCCUGUAUCUUCAGGAGAAUUCCUGUACGCAGGCCGCAGAAGUUAAAGAGGAACCAUCGGUUUGGCCAGGCAAGAAAACAACCAUCCAGCUCACACAGGAACAACAGCUGAUUCUGAACCACAAGAUGGAACCCCUCCAGGUGGUAAAGAUUAUGGCAUUUGCAGGCACCGGGAAGACCUCUACCCUGGUCAAGUAUGCUGAGAAGUGGUCUGAGAGCAGGUUUCUGUAUGUGACAUUCAACAAGAGCAUCGCAAAGCAGGCCGAGCUAGUCUUCCCCAGCAAUGUCAUCUGCAAAACCUUUCAUUCCAUGGCCUAUGGACACGUCGGGCGGAAGUACCAAUUAAAGAAGAAAUUGAAUCUCUUCAAGUUGACCCCUUUCAUGGUCAAUUCUGUCCUUGCUGAAGGGAAAGGCGGAUUCAUAAGGGCCAAGCUCGUGUGUAAGACUUUAGAAAACUUCUUUGCCUCGGCUGACGAAGAGCUGACGAUUGAUCACGUGCCUAUCUGGUGUAAGAACAGCCAAGGACAGAGAGUCAUGGUUGAACAGAGUGAAAAGCUGAACGGUGUCCUUGAAGCAAGCCGACUCUGGGACAACAUGCGGAAGCUGGGGGAAUGCAAAGAAGAGGCGUACCAAAUGACUCACGAUGGCUAUUUGAAACUCUGGCAGCUGAGCAAGCCUCUGCUUGCCUCUUUUGACGCCAUCUUUGUGGAUGAGGCCCAGGACUGUACCCCAGCUAUCAUGAACAUAGUUCUGUCUCAGCCAUGUGGGAAAAUCUUUGUAGGGGACCCACAUCAACAGAUCUAUACCUUCCGCGGUGCGGUCAAUGCUCUGUUUACAGUCCCUCACACGCACGUCUUCUAUCUCACACAGAGUUUUAGAUUUGGUGUAGAAAUAGCUUAUGUGGGAGCUACUAUCUUGGAUGUCUGCAAGCGAGUAAGGAAAAAGACUUUGGUCGGAGGAAACCAUCAGAGUGGCAUUAGAGGUGACACAAAGGGGCAGGUGGCCCUGUUGUCCCGGACCAAUGCCAAUGUGUUUGAUGAGGCCGUGCGGGUGACCGAAGGAGAAGUGCCUGCCAGGAUACAUUUGAUUGGGGGGAUUAAAUCAUUUGGAUUGGACAGAAUCAUUGAUAUUUGGAUCCUUCUUCAGCCGGAGGAAGAACGGAAGAAACAGAACCUCGUUAUUAAAGACAAGUUUAUUAGAAGAUGGGUGCACAAGGAGGGCUUCAGUGGCUUCAAGAGGUAUGUGACCGCGGCUGAGGAUAAGGAGCUGGAGGCCAAGAUUGCAGUCGUGGAGAAGUAUAACAUCAGGAUUCCAGAACUGGUGGAGAGGAUAGAGAAGUGUCACAUAGAAGACCUGGACUUCGCAGAGUACAUUUUGGGCACUGUACACAAAGCCAAAGGCUUGGAGUUUGACACUGUGCACGUUUUGGACGAUUUUGUGAAAGUGCCUUGCGCCAGGCACAACCUCGCACAGCUGCCCCACUUCAGAGUUGAGUCGUUUUCUGAGGAUGAAUGGAAUUUACUGUAUGUCGCAGUAACUCGUGCCAAGAAGCGUCUCAUCAUGACCAAGUCCUUGGAGAACAUCUUGACUUUAGCUGGGGAGUACUUCUUGCAAGCAGAACUGACGAGUAACGUGUUGAAGACCGGGGUGGUUCGCUGCUGUGUGGGGCAGUGCAACAAUGCCAUCCCUGUGGACACUGUGCUCACCAUGAAGAAGCUCCCCAUCACCUACAGCAACAGGAAGGAGAACAAGGGCGGCUACCUCUGCCACUCGUGUGCAGAGCAGCGCAUUGGGCCGCUGGCCUUCUUGACGGCCUCCCCCGAGCAGGUGCACUCCAUGGAACGCACCAUCGAGAACAUAGUGCUGCCCAGACACGAAGCCCUGCUCUUCCUCGUCUUCUGAAAGCCACGGGGAGCUUUCUCCACGCACGUCAGGGAUGCAGAUGGCAGGUAGGGGAGCUGGCGCAGCGUGACCCAGAGAGCUCGCCACUCCUGGUCUCAGCCCACCAAGCGGCGUCCUGGAGCGGGCCUCGUAGCUUCACUUGUCGCGGCCUCCCCUUAGCCUCUUCCAUCAGCCUGGUGGCGCUUAGAGUGCAGGCCGUUGCAACAACUGAAGUGCUUUAUAUCUUGUGACUCAUUUUGAACAACCAUAAAAGGAGGGGAUGUGCCAUUCUUCACACUUCCUCCUGCUUGCUAGCUGAGAUGCGGACCUGAUGAUGGGAGCCCCGGCAGUCAUACUGGAAUUUGAAAGAGAUAGGCGGAGGCUCCCUGCAGUGACCUGGAAGAGGAAAAGGAAAUUCUCAAGGCAAGUUGGCGACGGCAUGGAGGGGAAGUAAAACACAGAGGUUGGAAGGCGGCAGAGGAGAACCAGCCUGGAAGGUUGCUGGAGGGAGGCCAUAAUGUUGCCCUGUCCAUCUACCCAGCUAGCCUGUGCACCCCUCGAUGGCAUCCUCCAGAAGUGGCCAGCCAGCCCCUCUUUCUGAGCAUUUUCAAGGACAGAGGGCUUCUAACUUUUGAAGCCAUUAGUUGAAUGAAGACCUUUCCUUUUCUCACAGGGAAUGGCCUGCGAUAAAGAGAAGAGAGACAGGUCCCCACCCGUGUGAGACGUCUCCCGUGAAAGACAAGGAAAUCGUUGAGGGGGAAGAGUCCCUGAAGAAGUGAGCAAGCAGCAGAAGGCCCUCCGCGGCCCUCUGUGGUGUUUUUGCCUUCGUGCUCACAAUUGCAGCCUUCACGGAAGCAGUGGGUCGCGCCUGAGCGCAGUGUAGCAACUUUCAAGAGUUGGAAAUAACCUGCAAUGAGAUGUCAGGCGUUGGUACCUUGCCACCCAAGUGCCUCUUUAACCCAGACCGUGUGUGUAUGUCUUCAGUCUGGAAACUUUUUCAUCCAAAAAUACCCCAACUUGAACAUGCCUUUUAAGCAGAGCUUCAUUUAUUUCCUUUUCAGAAUUUUUGACAGAGCCACAGGAGUCUCCAAGUCACCUCUGUCAACCUUCUCAUCUUACAGAGAGAAACUGAGGCCCAGGGAGGUAGAGCAAUUCAUCUAAAGCCAUGCUCCUCCAACAAUGUUAGGAGGCAUCUUGGCUCACUUUCAGCUCCCUGCAAAGUUUAAUUUCCCCUUAAUCUUCUCUCCACUGACCUCAGAAGACACGCCCCACUUUCUAAGAGAACUCCUAAUUUUUGAAGUUUCUAACUGGCCCCUGGGCAGUGAAGGGGACGGGGAAAUUCACUUGAAUGUCCACCAUGUUGAGGGAUAGCCUGACUCAAGGGUGACUCUAGCUCUUCCAGAAAUGACUUCAACAAGACAUUGCACUAAAGACAUCGCUUCCAGAAAACUCAAGACUUAGCCAAAGAAAUCUAAGAAUACUUCUCUUUGAGAUGAGUGGGGUCAAGGGGUGGAGUUGUAGUGGUCAAGAAGAGUUCUUUGCUAGCACCUCUAACCCACCAUGAGCAAAGUCACUUUUUGUGUGUGUGCCUCAGUUUUCUCAAAUCUAAAAUGGAGAUCCAGGUCAAGUGUAUCCAAUCAUAUUGAACUUCAGAAUCAAAUAUGCUGUAAUUGAAUACUGGAUUUCAAAGCUCUGAAUGAAGACAAGUUAUAACAUAUCUUACUCAUUGCUUUGGUGUGGGUUAUAAUCCAAGCGAUAGCAUUGGAUUUCUUGAGUUCAAUAAAAUGUUUUAAAAUUGCAAAAUAAAAUAAAGUAAAAUUAAAUGGAACGUAUGUACAGCUGACACAGAGCACUGCCUAUUUAAGAUGCCAUUUUAGAGAAAGUAGCAGCUCUUCUAUGAGGUAGUCCCUAAGCUUACCAAAGUCCUGUCUCCCCAAGUUAUAUCCUGAAGAUGAGCAAGGUUAACCACGGUAAUAACACUUGGGGUCUAGAGAAAUUGAAUGAUUAAACAUGGAGGAUUAAACACUUUGUGUUUUAAUGACAGAUGUGCAGAUGGGAAAUUCCAGUGUGGGCAGUUGUCUUUAGAAGAAGGGAUAAUUAGACAAAAAUAUCAUCUUUAUGGGUUUCCACACUUUGGUGGUUUUUUUUUUUUUUUUUUUUUUUUUGAGUCUAGGGGAUGAAGAUUUGAUCACAGAAUUCCUAGAAUGAAAGACGAUCAAAGCAUAGAUAAACUCUCAGAAUUUCCACAAUUCUGAGAAAGGUGCCUUCGCUAACGUGCCAUGUUGGUAACAUCAGGAGAAUUCUCUUUUUAACCACAUCCCAGGACCCAGUAAUACAGAGAUUAAAAAACACCCAGGUUGACUAAUACAUCCUCUGCGACUCAUCACCAUUUUAAUUGGUGGCUUUGGAAAUUUUCAGAAUGAAAAUCUGCCUUAUGAAUCAGCUAGAAAUUGCAUCUGUUGAUGGUCUGUUUGAUUUUGUUAGAGACCUCUCCCCUCUGAGGAGUAAAAAGUCUUGUUUAUUUUAAGACUGGGCUCCUCCUCUUGGAGAAGAAAGUCUGAGAUGAGAUUAUUUCUUACCCUGGGGUGGUUCCUAAACCAGAUAUUAAUCCCAUAAACUCAACUUAUUUCAUCCUCAUUGGUCACCAGGUUCUCAUGUGCCUCUUGACUGGACUAUGGAAGGGGCCUCCCAACAUGUCUCUGUGCACCUGAUCUCUCUCCACUCUGUGCCAGAGUCACCUCCACAGAAGUGUCUGCAGUGAACAGAAAGAGUGUAAAUCAGGGAGCCUUGGGUUUGAACCCCAACUCUGUCACUGUCUCUGCGACUUCUGAGUUUUGGGUUCUUCAUCCAGUGGGUUUGUGACAUCCACAUUGCAAAGUGGGUAUAAAGAUUAAGAUACAACUUACACGUCUGGCACAUAGAAGGUACUCUAUAAAUGGUCAUUUUUAUUUUUGGGUAGUUUUCCAUUGACUACCAAAUGAAGUUAAAAUUUAUAACUUGCUAUCCAAGGCCUUGGAUCAUUCAUCUGACCCCAUCCUAUCUUUUCAGCCUUGAUCUCCCAUGUCCCCAUAUACCCAUCCAGUGUCAGGGGGCACAGUGGACCACUUGCUGUUCCCUUGUGCUCUGCUGUGUCUUUGUCACAGGGACCUUUCUCUCUGAGAAAGUUAAAGCCUUAGGAAAAUUUAUUUACCUAAGGAAAUUUAUUCAUAUCCCAGGGCUCUUUUUGCAUGCUGCCAUCAUUUACAUCUGGCCCACAUGGAUCUCAUCGCAUUCUAAUCUGAAGUGCUGUUGUGAUACCUGUGCCUUUAUCUCCCUUGCUAGGUUAUAAGUCUGUUAAGGACCGAGACUAUGUCUUGUUCAUUUUCAUAUUUUCUACAGUGUUGAGAAGGGGAUUAAGAGGUUUUUGAAUAGAUUUUUGGAGACCCGAGUGAAUGAAAGAGUCCUCAUAUUACUUCCACUUGCCUCACUCCCACCAAGACCAUUCAUAUCUUCAGAUCACCAGCGACUGACAAUAGCACAAGUUUACUUGAAAUGUGUUUCCCACAGAUAGGUCAUGACUUAUUGUAAAGACUUUUCUGUUCUAACUUGAACUGUCCUCCCACUUUGCAAAGACCAUGCUGAAGCAGAAGUCAUGUUAUAAGCCUUUCAAAAAUCAUGCCCUCUUCAACUCCACAGUGAAGAAAUUCCUAUCCCUGGGUCAGUUCACAGCCCAACAUAAUCUGGCUACUUCACCAAAUAAGCAAAAAGACUCCUUAGAUGCAUUAUCAGGUUUCACUUCUUAACACAUCUUUCUGUGGCCAGCUAGCAUUAUUAUACAUCUAGAAGUUAAGGCAAUGAAAUUGUAGACUUUGAUACCUUAUCUGUCUUCCUGGGUAAGCAAGGGAAGAAGUUAUUAGAAAAUUCACACUCAAUUAGGAAAGGUGGUUUGAGGUAGAAGUUGGUGGUUUCUUAUUUGUUAAAAAAAAUUUCUUUGACAAAACCCAUUUAAAAGGAUGAAUGAAAUCCAAAAUUUGCACGUGUGUGUGUGUAUACAUACAAACACAUAUGUAUAUAUGCAUAUAUCCAUAUAAGACUAUAAGAAAAAGUAGAGUUCUGAAAGCAAGUAUGCUUAUUUUUUCUAAAAUUUCUAUAACAUUGCAUGUGUAAAGAGAGUCCUAGGUAUUAUUUCCUGAGGCAGUAUGUAGAAAAACAGCAUAUACAUUUUUGAAGCCAAGAUUUUUUGAGAUCUUAAAUUAUCCUGAUGUUUCCUAUAUUAGUUACUGACAUCUCAGGACAUUAACCUGGUCUUAGAUUCCUAGUAGAUUUUUAGAUUGUUAAGUAUGGCGAAAAACUGUAUCCAUUGGAAAAUAAGAGAACAUGUCUUGAGGAAUCUGCUCAUUCGUAUUCUGUUAAUAUUCAAAUAUCCCGCCACUCUAUUCACCCCAGAAUUAACAAAGACUCUGAGGAACAGGAGAUCCCACCAUCCCAGGCUCUGUGUAUAGAUCAGGGACGAUUGAAGCAUGACAUGGGACCCUAGGGGGUCACGGACAAAGAAUAGACCCCAAGAUUCAACCCCUGUGUCUGCACUUUCUACUUAGGAACCUCCUGAUUCUGGGCUGAGAAGAGCUAACAUCCAUGAGCCUUCCCAAGAUUCAGAGGGCACCUGUGACCCUUACCUGUCACGUGGCCAUGUACCACGACGAAUGUGAGGAUUCCCCACAGCAGCAGGCUUGGCUCCAUCUUGAGGGCAGUGAAGAGAAGGUGUUUCUCUGCAAAAGGCCAAGUUUCCAGUCAGCCUCUUAUUUGUAUCAUGCUGGGAGGACGAGGGAUGAAAAGAUCAAUCCACUCAGGGUGUCAUCAUGCUGUGGUCCCUCUGGUCUCUAUGACAGUCCGAAGUUGCUCUCUAUAAGUAUUAGGCUGCUUUGGUGAGCCAGGAAAUUGUGCCUAGCCCUCUCUAGUUUCAAAUAUAGGAAGUGGUUUUAACCAGGUUUUUUUUCAAGUUCAAUUGCUGGGAGGUGUGGGUUGGGGUUGGUGAGAAGGAUUGGACUUCAUUUAUGAAUCCUUUCUUCAGCUUCACC